GGACGAACGCUGGCGGCGUGCCUAAUACAUGCAAGUCGAACGGCUUUUCUAUGGAAGCUUGCUUCCACUGAGAAGAUAGUGGCGAACGGGUGAGUAACACGUGGGUAACCUGCCCAUAAGAGGGGGAUAACAUCCGGAAACGGGUGCUAAUACCGCAUAGUUUUCUUGAUCGCAUGAUUGAGAAAGGAAAGACGGCCUUUGUGCUGUCGCUUAUGGAUGGACCCGCGGCGUAUUAGUUAGUUGGUGAGGUAACGGCUCACCAAGACGAUGAUACGUAGCCGACCUGAGAGGGUGAUCGGCCACAUUGGGACUGAGACACGGCCCAAACUCCUACGGGAGGCAGCAGUAGGGAAUCUUCCGCAAUGGACGAAAGUCUGACGGAGCAACGCCGCGUGAGUGAAGAAAGGUUUUCGGAUCGUAAAACUCUGUUGUCAGAGAAGAACAAGUUGGAGAGUAACUGCUCCAGCCUUGACGGUAUCUGACCAGAAAGCCACGGCUAACUACGUGCCAGCCGCCGC
rnacentral:rRNA from 1 species